GAUGAAGAACGUAGCGAAAUGCGAUACUUGGUGUGAAUUGCAGAAUCCCGUGAACCAUCGAGUCUUUGAACGCAAGUUGCGCCCGAAGCCAUUAGGCCGAGGGCACGCCUGCCUGGGCGUCACACGUCGUUGCCCCCCCCAUCUACUCCUUCGGGAUUGCGGGGGGCGGAUGAUGGCCUCCCGUGCGCCUCGCCGCGCGGUUGGCAUAAAUGCCAAGUCCUCGGCGACGCACGCCACGACAAUCGGUGGUUGCGAAACCUCGGUUGCCCGUCGUGUGCGGUCGUCGCGCAUCGAGGGCUCGAAAAAAUUGCCGAGUUCCGGCUCGGCUUUCAACGCGACCCCAGGUCAGGCGGGAUUACCCGCUGAAUUUAAGCAUAUCAAUAAGCGGAGGA
rnacentral:misc_RNA from 1 species